rnacentral:rRNA from 1 species
UACCAGCACCCCGAGUGGUCGGGACGUUUUUAUUGGGCCUAAAGCAUCCGUAGCCGGUUCUACAAGUCUUCCGUUAAAUCCAACUGCUUAACAGGUGGGCUGCGGAAGAUACUAUAGAGCUAGGAGGCGGGAGAGGCAAGCGGUACUCGAUGGGUAGGGGUAAAAUCCGUUGAUCCAUUGAAGACCACCAGUGGCGAAGGCGGCUUGCCAGAACGCGCUCGACGGUGAGGGAUGAAAGCUGGGGGAGCAAACCGG